UUGAGUAUAGUUGAGGUAGCUGGAAUGAGUAGUGUAGCGGUGAAAUGCAUAGAUAUUACUCAGAACACCGAUUGCGAAGGCAGGUUACCAAGUUAUAACUGACGCUGAGGGACGAAAGCGUGGGGAGCGAACAGGAUUAGAUACCCUGGUAGUCCACGCCGUAAACGAUGCUAACUCGUUUUUGGGCUUUAGGGUUCAGAGACUAAGCGAAAGUGAUAAGUUAGCCACCUGGGGAGUACGACCGCAAGGUUGAAACUCAAAGGAAUUGACGGGGGCCCGCACAAGCGGUGGAUCAUGUGGUUUAAUUCGAUGAUACGCGAGGAACCUUACCAAGGCUUAAAUGGGAAUUGACAGCUGUAGAAAUACGGUUUUCUUCGGACAAUUUUCAAGGUGCUGCAUGGUUGUCGUCAGCUCGUGCCGUGAGGUGUUAGGUUAAGUCCUGCAACGAGCGCAACCCCUGUCACUAGUUGCCAUCAUUAAGUUGGGGACUCUAGUGAGACUGCCUACGCAAGUAGAGAGGAAGGUGGGGAUGACGUCAAAUCAUCACGGCCCUUACGCCUUGGGCCACACACGUGAUACAAUGGCCG
rnacentral:rRNA from 1 species